rnacentral:piRNA from 1 species
UUCGGGUGGUAACAAUGUAUGUGUAA